CCUACGUGAGGCAGCAGUGGGGGAUAUUGCACAAUGGAGGAAACUCUGAUGCAGCGACGCCGCGUGAGGGAAGACGGUCUUCGGAUUGUAAACCUCUGUCUUUGGGGAAGAAAAUGACGGUACCCAAAGAGGAAGCUCCGGCUAACUACGUGCCAGCAGCCGCGGUAAUACGGAGGAUGCGAGCGUUAUCCGGAUUUAUUGGGUUUAAAGGGUGCGUAGGCGGGAUGCCAAGUCAGCGGUAAAAAUGCGGUGCUCAACGCCGUCGAGCCGUUGAAACUGGCGUUCUUGAGUGGGCGAGAAGUAUGCGGAAUGCGUGGUGUAGCGGUGAAAUGCAUAGAUAUCACGCAGAACUCCGAUUGCGAAGGCAGCAUACCGGCGCCCUACUGACGCUGAGGCACGAAAGCGUGGGUAUCGAACAGGAUUAGAUACCCCAGUAGUC
rnacentral:rRNA from 1 species